rnacentral:tRNA from 1 species
GGGCCAUUAGCUCAGUCGGUUAGAGCACUGUGCUGAUAACGCAGGGGUCCGCCGUUCGAUUCGGCGAUGGCCCACCA